rnacentral:tRNA from 1 species
AAAAAAAAAAUUGAGGGAAACAUCAUGGCCUUUUAUGCCAUGCACCGAAGUUCAAUUCUUCGAAUUUUUA